UGUUAGGAGACACAUGCAGAGUCGGUAUUUAGGGGUAUUUAGUUGAGAUUCCUACCUCUUUGUCAGGAUCUCCUUUUUGUUAGCUCUAACUGUGAAAAAUCAAACCUGAUGUGGAAGUCAGACUUCUGUGAUUCCAGAAUCAUACAUUCUAACACUCAGGCUGAAAACAAAUUCAGUUCAAUGCUUUGUUUUCUAAUCGAACUUUCCCUUUCCAAUCAGAAAAGAAGACGAAUUAGCAUUUUAUGGUACCUAUUAGUGAGGGACCAGUCAGGUCAUAAAAGUGCACCCGACAGUGGCGUUUCCACACUGGUAUGAGCAAUGCACUUCCCUUGUUAUGCUCCCAAGUUAAACAAGAAUCAAGAAAUCCAACUUGAAUCACCAUCCUGGCUCAGUACUGUCUAGAGGUUAUGAGCUUUACCAGAAAACCAGGUAGGGUACAUCCUGCCCCUCUCUUGUCACCUGCCAGCCCUGAAGUGACAGUAAGGGCCAACUUAUAGGGACCUGUCUCCUUAUGUCACCUUUAGUUGUGUUUCAGCUUCAUUUGCCACUUGCCCUAAUAUUUCUCAAUUACUUUCUUUCUAGUCCUCGCAGCAAGCCUACGGGAGAGGUUCAUUUUGCCAUAUUAUCUAUAGAUUGGCUGUAAGGUGGGAAUCCUGUCUCAGAGCUGCAAGGAAUCUGAGGAGAUUAUCGGUUCAUCCUCCUGCCUGGAGACAGUUAACUCCAAAACUGCAAACAUCUCAAAGGGAAUGAUGGAUAUCAGGUGACAUCGUGAGGCUGGGGCUAACCCAAAUGGAGCCUGAACAAUCUAAGGAAACACAGUUGCAGAGGGGACUGUGAGUCUGGUUUGCAAUUUUGAUUUUGAACUGGUGUUCAGCAGCUCUUUUAAACCAUGGGCCAGUCAAACCUGAAUUGAUGAUAAAAAUGAGAUACUAUUUUUGGAAAAAUACUUAAAAGGGGAACUCUGAAGCCUGUUGGUAGGUGUGUCAGUUGGCACCAUCUACCUGGAUAGCAAUUGGUAGGAACCUUAAAAAUAUACAUAGCUUUUGACUCACUUCCGGGAUUUUUUUCCAAGAUCAGAAAUACGUAUGCAUAAGUGUCAUUGAAGCAUCGCCUUAAAAAAUGGAAAGUUGAGGGGCGCCUGGGUGGCUCAGUCGGUUGAGUGUCCGACUUCGGCUCAGGUCAUGAGCUCGCAGCUCGUGGGUUCGAGC